GCUCGCGCCGGCUCACACUCACAGAGGGCAGCAGGAACAGAGGACAGGCUCGUUUCUCCGUUUUACCGGAGCGCGCUCUCUCGCUCCUUCUCUCUCUCUCUCUCCCUCCCUCUCUCUCUCCCUCUCCCUCUCCCAGUGUCUGUGCUGCAGAGACUGCUUACCUACUGGAGCUGCCGCGUGCGCCGGGCGGCCGGGGCAGCGCGAGGAAAGAGUAGAGAGAGCAAAGGGGGAAAGGUGUUUGACCAGCUGAGCGAUUUAUUUUCCAAAAGUAAAGGACGCUAUGGACGAAAAAAACAUCAAGGUUUAAUAAUUAAUUUCAUUUUUAAUUUUGUCCCCCCCUCGCGCCGUAGAGACAAGAGAACCCUUUGAUCUGCAGCCGACACUUCGUUCACCUCACUCGUGCGUUGAUCUGACAGCCGCGCGCGCCGUGCUGCCUUGGAUAUAUUGUCCUCGAGCCUCCCUGGGUUGGUCCACGCGCAGCGUUGCGUUUAACAAAACAUCGGCCACAAUUUUAAACGUAAAACACUCCGCGGGAAAAGAAAGAAAAAACACUUUCUUUUGAGUGAAGUGAGUAAAGUAGGUGAAACGGACUGAGCGUCAAACGUGGUGUUCUGAAUGCGCCUUUUCUAGUUAUGUUUUUUGGUCAAUUUCACUAUUGACAUUUAAAAUCGAUAAGCUGAACAAGUGGAGGAAGUUUUUUUUUUUGUGGAAAAAAAGUGGAAGAAAAUAACCGGCUACCCGACGGUGGCUGUAAACUGGAAGAGGAGGGUCCCCCACGCUGGGACGAACAGCGCUGUGUACGGCUGUACGGUCCUGAUCGGCUGAAGCUUCAACACAAGACUCCCCUCUGCAUUACACCUGCCAGCACAGUUUUGGACGCACAGAAGGGAAUGACAGGACUUGGCAGCAGACCAGUGCCGUUCAACUGCUAGACCACUCAACAAGUUGAGAGAUGUCAGAGUGAUUGGGCUGCCGCAUAGCAGCCGCUCC